rnacentral:rRNA from 1 species
CCUGGUUGAUCCUGCCAGUAUUAUAUGCUUGUCUCAAAGGUUAAGCCAUGCAUGUCUAAGUAUAAGCAACUCUUAUACUGCGAAACUGCAAAUGGCUCAUUAAAUCAGUUAUAGUUUAUUUGAUGGUCCCUUACUACAUGGACAACUGUAGUAAUUCUAGAGCUAAUACAUGCGCAAAAUCCCGGCCGCAAGGGAUGUAUUUAUUAGGUUCCAAGCCAAUAGUCGCGUUCGCUGGGCGUGGUUGUUGGUGAUUCAUAAUAACAGACCAGAUCGCAUCGGCUGGGUGCCGGCGAUGGAUCAAUCAAAUUUCUGCCCUAUCAGCUGGACUGUAGUGUAGUGGACUACAGUGGCGUUGACGGGUAACGGAGAAUUAGGGUUCGAUUCCGGAGAGGGAGCCUGAGAAACGGCUACCAGGUCUAAGGAUGGCAGCAGGCGCGCAAAUUACCCAAUCCUGAUCCAGGGAGGUAGUGACAAGAAAUAACGAUAUUUGGCUCUCGCGAGCUGGAUAAUCGGAAUGAGAACAAUUUAAAAGCCUUAUCAAGGAUCCAUUGGAGGGCAAGUCUGGUGCCAGCAGCCGCGGUAAUUCCAGCUCCAAUAGCGUAUAUUAAUUUUGUUGCAGUUAUAACGCUCGUAGUUGGAUAUCUGGCUCGGAGGUUUUCUUACGGGUGUGCCCCUGUAUAAAGGGUGCUAACGUCGGGGGACUUCCGGCCAUCUUUCGCGGAGAACGUUCGGGCUCUUCAUUGACGUCUGGACGCGAUCCCGAUCUUUUACUUUGAAAAAAUUAGAGUGUUCAAAGCAAGCGCAAUGCCAUGAAUACAUGAGCAUGGAAUAAUAAAAUAGGGCCUCGGCUUUAUUUUGUUGGUUAUAAAAAGCUGGGUGUAAUGAUUGAUAGGGAUAGUUGGGGGUGCUUGUAUUCAACGGCCAGAGGUGAAAUUCCGUGAUCUGUUGAAGACAGUCAAAUGCGAAAGCAUUCACCAAGGAUGUCUUCUUUAAUCAAGAACGAAAGUUGGGGGAUCGAAGACGAUCAGAUACCGUCGUAGUCUCAACCAUAAACGAUGCCGACUAGGGAUUGAUGGGCGUUGCUUUUUGACCCCAUCAGCACCUUAUGAGAAAUCAAAGUCAUUAGGUUCCGGGGGGAGUAUGGUCGCAAGGCUGAAACUUAAAGGAAUUGACGGAAGGGCACCACCAGGAGUGGAGCCUGCGGCUUAAUUUGACCCAACACGGGAAAACUUACCAGGUUCAGACAUAGUGAGGAUUGACAGAUUGAAGAUCUUUCUAGAUUUUAUGGGUGGUGGUGCAUGGCCGUUCUUAGUUGGUGGAGUGAUUUGUCUGGUUAAUUCCGUAAACGAACGAGACCUCAGCCUGUAACUAGUUGUCCUAACC